rnacentral:lncRNA from 1 species
AGAAGGCACGCACUCGUUUGCAUGAAUCUAAUCACGCCCGAGUAGUAGGUUAUAUUGACUAUCUGCAUCAACCACAAAGAAUGCAGUUCGUAAAGUUUUAGAACCUACCGUGAUUUCGGUCGUAAGCACUCCUCGAGCUUGCUGACCGCUCCCAGUAAAGUCGGUCAUGAUCGUGUCCGUGGGUUUCAACUCGUCUUCAUCUUUGCCCAACUUUUUGAAGAAUGCAGUGGGCAUGACAUUGACCAUCGCUCCGCCAUCCACCAUCACUCGGCCUACUGGCCGACCUUCAAUUAAGGUCUUUAUAAAGAGAGGCCUUAUGAAUCUCGUCUGCAUAGCCGAUGGUUUCUCAAAAACUACUGCAUCGGCCAGUUGAACAUCUUCCAAUUGCAACUGGG